CAGGCAGCUGCAGAAGGCUUAGAACUAAGUCAAAGCUGCCAGUGCAAGAAGUCUUCACUUGAUAUUGUCAUCAGACACCAACAUGUUUCUAGUAUAAGAAAAGUUCUGAAGAUUCAAAGACAAUGAAAAUGAAAAUCCAAUUUCCAUUGCAAGUGUCACAUAUAAAUGACUCUGCAUCAAGUGAUGAAUGUGACUGUGGACAUCUUUCCUAUACAAACAGAAUGUAGCCAUCUUUUCCAGAAUCAUUGGAUGAAUUAAGCAUGUGAAAGGAGGUACCACUGCAUUUCAAUCCAAAAGGAAUGAAGCAUUGUCUACUGGAGAGACAUGAACAAAAGUCUGGGGCCUUUGGCCAGAGGUAAUUUUCUGUGAAUGGAGAAUUGAUGAGGGAAGAGUGCAAGCCAGAAGAAUCGACCAUCUAAGGCAGCAGUUGAUAUGAUGUGGAUUUACUGCAGUGGCAGCAGAGGUGCUAAGGGUCCCGAAGAAAGCGAUGAACUGGAAUUCGGGAAAGAUGAUCCCAAAUGGAACAAAUUUGCUCUGUGAAACAGAAGUCUCAGGUGCUGCCAAGAAGUGGAGCCUCUUUCAGGAUGAAGAGCAUCAUUCUCCAGCCAGCAGGAGUGGUUUUUUUGAUGCUCAUGGCAGAGGCCCUUCUCAGGCACUGCUGUAGGAUGAUGGGAACUGUGUGACCCAGAUUUAUACCUCCUUUCAGGGGCAUGUUUAAUUCAAUAGUGGGUCCAUCGGGUCUAUCGGGUCCAUGCAACGUAGAAAAAAAAGCUGUGUGGCUGCCAAAUAAGCAAGUUGGUAAUAAUUCAUACCAAAAGUAUUCACACCCUUAAAAGUAAUGGAACCUUUGUUUUUCCCAGAUCACUUCCCCCAGAAAAAAUACACAUAAGAAAGUUGAAAAUGGAGUUUCUGUUUAAAAGAUGUCCCUUUUACCUUCUUACACUGGUUCACAGUUUGUGCAGUGGGGGCCCUCAUUCUACUUUUGCUCAUUCUCACUCUUCUCUUCUUCUUUUGCACUCUUAAAGUGGCAUCUGGAUCAAGUUGGAGGAGCCCCCUGGUCUCCUCAAAACAACAUCACUGUUCAAAAAGACUGCAUGACAGGAAUGCUCAGAGGGGAUUACACAGGGCAGGGUGUUGAUGCUGGAGGCUACUUGCUUUCUCUCAUCUUUGAAUGUGUACCAGUCAC
rnacentral:lncRNA from 1 species